GAUGAACGCUGGCGGCGUGCCUAAUACAUGCAAGUCGAGCGAACAGAUGAGAAGCUUGCUUCUCUGAUGUUAGCGGCGGACGGGUGAGUAACACGUGGGUAACCUACCUAUAAGACUGGGAUAACUCCGGGAAACCGGGGCUAAUACCGGCUAAUAUUUUGAACCGCAUGGUUCGAUAGUGAAAGACGGUUUCGGCUGUCACUUAUAGAUGGACCCGCGCCGUAUUAGCUAGUUGGUAAGGUAACGGCUUACCAAGGCGACGAUACGUAGCCGACCUGAGAGGGUGAUCGGCCACACUGGAACUGAGACACGGUCCAGACUCCUACGGGAGGCAGCAGUAGGGAAUCUUCCGCAAUGGGCGAAAGCCUGACGGAGCAACGCCGCGUGAGUGAUGAAGGUCUUCGGAUCGUAAAACUCUGUUGUUAGGGAAGAACAAAUUUGUUAGUAACUGAACAAGUCUUGACGGUACCUAACCAGAAAGCCACGGCUAACUACGUGCCAGCCGCCGCAGUAA
rnacentral:rRNA from 1 species